GGCACAGCCCUUGCUCCACUCCUGACACCUGCGAUCCAACGGCGGAUCGCCCGACAACGGCGUCGC
rnacentral:ncRNA from 1 species